rnacentral:rRNA from 1 species
CGCGCAGGCGGAUGAUGCAAGUCCGGAGUGAAAUCUCGCCGCUCAACGGCGAGGCUGCUUGGGAUACUGUACGUCUGGGGACUGGUAGAGGCUGGUAGAAUUCCCGGUGUAGCGGUGGAAUGCGUAGAUAUCGGGAAGAACACCCGUGGCGAAGGCGGCCAGCUGGGCCAGAUCCGACGCUGAGCGCGAAAGCGUGGGAAGCAAACA